UACACUUGUCAGACAUUCCAUGGGAAUGAAACACUAUAUAAACACUUGCAAUCCACCUCAAUCCACAGAACACAACAAGAUUUGCUGUGAGUUAAGUUUGUAGCAGAAGAAGAAUAUUUCACUUCAAAUAUCAUCAUCAAUCAUGAAUGCACAACAACAAAACAACAUGAAGGCCCAGGCUAACGAGGCCUCCGAGAAAACUCAGGUCAUAGCAUAUACAUAUUCUUCUAUCUAAAAGUUGGUGAUUAAUCCGAUUAAUCCAUGUUCCGUAACUUGUCGAAUUGAUUAAAUCUCUAGUUAAUCCCUGAUCAAUUCAAUUGAUGUCCUUGUUCCGUGACUUCACCGAUUAAGUCCGAUUCCCACUUUUUAUUUUUACAAUACUGACAUAUUCUCGAUCUAAUUUAUCCUUGUUUUCUUGUGCUGCAUGCACUGAUAAUUUGCUAUAUUUUCUCAACUGUAGGAGAAAGGCAACCAGAUGAUGGACAGCAUCAGCAAUGCAGGCGGUCAGAUGAAGCAAUCGAUGCAGGAGGUAGUAGCAAUAUAUUUUAUUUGCAAUUUUAUUUUCUAGAAAAAAAAUUAACAGUUCCAAGCUGAAUUAAUCGAAUAUUACAGUCUUAAGUAUUGUGGAUGUGUAUAUAUUUGCUGAUAAUUACGUGUUCGUGUUUGCAGACGGGUGGGCAAAUGAAGGAGAUGGCAUCAAAUAUGGCUGAUAGUGCUAAGGAGGCAACCGGGAUGAAAUGAAGAAGCAUGCAUGCAUAGCGCAUCAGCUCCCCUCCAUCCUUCCAUUUUUACCCCAACACGCACGAACGCUCUGCGUUUUAGUGCUAUUGUUUUCUUUGUUAGUUUCAUGUUCAUGUUUCUAGAGGCUUUUAAAUUUGGGUUCUGCUCUGUUAGCGGAACCAUGCAUAAUGUAUGAACAAAGAGGAGGGGUGGAGUUCUUUUUUAUUUAUUUCUUCUAAUAAAAUAUUGAAUGUUUUUAUA
rnacentral:lncRNA from 1 species